AUAUUUAAAGUUUGAAGUAAACACCUUAAGAAAUAAAGAACUUAUAGUGAAAAAGCUGAAAAAUUUAAAUCAGAAAUCUUGAAAUUCAGGCUAUUUGUUGCCAUAGCAACCAGAAUUUUCAACAUAGGAAGAAAAAAAAAAACACGUGCAUAAUCUCCAUACUGCCAUCUAUUCAUAUAUCAAGUUUCAUAAAAAUAUUUUCAGUACUUUUUGCGUUAUCGCGGGAUCCAGUUUAUGUGUUCAAUUUGCCAUAUUUUCAGGCUAUUUGUUGCCAUAGCAACCAGAAUUUUCAACAUAGGAAGAAAAAAAAAACGUGCAUAAUCUCCAUACUGCCAUCUAUCCAUAUAGCAAGUUUCAUAAAAAUAUUUUCAGUACAUUUUGCGUUAUCGCGGGAUCCAGUUUUGUGGACGGACGGACUGACGGACUGACAGACAGACAGACAGACGGACGGAGGGUAAACCUAAAGUCCCCUCCGGUUAAACCGGUAGGGGACUAAAAAU